CCAGCCUCCCCACCCAGCACACUGUAGUCUGCCACAUGCCUGCUCAUCUCAAUUAGACUGCAGGCAAGGGUUCAAUGUAUUCAUCCUUGAAUCCCAAGUAUCUGGCAAGGUCCUUGGCACAGAGUAGGGAGAGCUGGUUGAAUUUGGUCUGGGAGAUUAAUGGAAAAGAAGAAAUUCAGAGGCAGAAAAGACCCAUGGUGGUUAAGAGCGCUGAUUUUGCCACUUAGUACCUUGGUGACCUUGGACAGGUGACUUUAGCCUCUCUCGGUGUCUUGCUUUUCUUGUUUAUCAGUAGGGUCUAUGAUUGCAUCGACCUCGGAUGCUUGUUGCGACGGUUAAAUGAGCUAAGAGAUCCAAAUGUGCUUAGAAGAGCAUCUGACUCAUAAUAAGUCCCUGGUAAGUGUUGUUGCUAUUUUUGUUAGUAAAUGAUAAGAAGUCCUACCACCGAAAGGAUAGGAAACAGAAGGAAGAGGAUAGAAAUGAGCAAUUGCAACUAGAAGGGCCUGUGUGCCCACAACAGGGGUGAGGAGGAGUCUCAUAGAGCAGCCCCUAGGAUUCUAAUCCUGUCCUCUAUAUGGUGAUGGUUCUGCUGUUCCACCAUCAGGAACACUGGCAACAGGUGCUUUCUCAGCUUCCUUCGAGACUAAUCUGAACCCUUCGUGAGACCCAGAAGCACCUUCCAUCCAUGAAUCCAGGAAGUAGGAAUGAGAGCUGCCACCACGGUAGAAAAAGAGGCUACCCUGUGCUGAGAUACUGAGGCAGCUGGCCACAGCAUCAGUCAUGCUGGACUGUGUGAUGGAGAAAGAAGGGCAGUAAGAGACAGCAAUAGCAGCAGCACUCCAUCUCUGGAGUAGUUUCCAGGGCUAAGAUUGGAGAUUUGCUGUCAUCAGAAAAGCACCACCUUUUUCAAUAUAACCACAUGGGCCAACUCCUCCUCCCCUCCCGCAGCAUGAGUAGAUGGUUUGGAACCAGCUAUGCCACCGCUAUCCAAGUGUAGUUCCGAGACCGCGUGGGCACUGGGAUUACCUGGAGUUUGGUAGAGACGCAGACUGUGAGGUCCCACCAACCAGGAGUUACUGAAUCCGCCUCUGCGUUGGCCCCCCAUGCCUGGGAAACCAUGUCCAUCAAAUAUUCCUGGAGCUUCUGACUACGCAUCAAGCUUCCGACUGCACCUGGAGCCUUCCGACUGCUUCUGACUGCUCAGCCCCUUGGGAGAAGCUCCGCCAGUUCAAGACCCUCACCCGACCCUCUUCUCCGACCCAGGCCUUCUCAGCUAUCUGGGGCUAGCAGGCAGGUUGGCCUUCACCACUGAGGCCCCUGGUAAAUUUCUACAGAUAAACCCCCAUUUAAUUUUUUGUUUCCAUGUUGCCUGCCUCCCCACCCCACAACCCCCAGCCCGCCCCUCCUCCCUACCACAAGAUGUCAGGAGCAGAGAAAGGUUAUAUUACCAAAUUUAUUUGAAAGAAAACCUCCUAAGAAUUUUCUUAGGUUUGCAAAUAUUUCAAGAAUGUCUGUGUUGUCAAGAGUGUGAAGAAUGUCUCAUUGGACAUCCGUCAGCGUCACUGAGAAAAGAAAUCAGUCUCUGAUGGGGGAGUGUGGGAAACAGUGAAUGAAGAAAAAGCAGGGGUUUGCUUUUUGUAAUAAACAACGCUGGCGUGCA